GAAACUUCUUGCCUGUGUAGGUGCCAGGUGGUGCAUUACACUCUUCAGGAUCUACUGAGGGUUCUGCUGCUUCCACCAACUUCUUCCAAGCUUUUUCAGCAUAUUUGUCCUUCAGCUCACACAUGUUCCCCUCGGUGUUAUAAAUCUUUUCCUCCCAGGCACCAUUCUUCCACUGGUCGAUUAUCAUUUUUACAUGGAACGUUGAAUCUAUGGUAGAGUCUGAUACAAGCAUGAACUCCACCCACUUUUCA
rnacentral:misc_RNA from 1 species